rnacentral:rRNA from 1 species
GACGAACGCUGGCGGCGCGCUUCAAACAUGCAAGUCGAACGUGAAGCCCGGAGCUUGCUCUGGGUGGAAAGUGGCGAACGGGUGAGGAACACGUGAGGAACCUGCCCCGAAGACCGGGAUAACUCCGGGAAACCGGAGCUAAUACCGGAUGCCCUCACCGGACCGCAUGAUCCGGUGAGGAAAUGGAUUCCGCUUCGGGAUGGUCUCGCGCACUAUCAGCUUGUUGGUGAGGUAAUGGCUCAUCAAGGCUA